GACGAACGCUGGCGGCAUGCUUAACACAUGCAAGUCGAACGGAAAGGCCCUGCUUUUGUGGGGUGCUCGAGUGGCGAACGGGUGAGUAACACGUGAGUAACCUGCCCUUGACUUUGGGAUAACUUCAGGAAACUGGGGCUAUUACCGGAUAGGAGCUCCUGCUGCAUGGUGGGGGUUGGAAAGUUUCGGCGGUUGGGGAUGGACUCGCGGCUUAUCAGCUUGUUGGUGGGGUAGUGGCUUACCAAGGCUUUGACGGGUAGCCGGCCUGAGAGGGUGACCGGCCACAUUGGGACUGAGGUACGGCCCAGACUCCUACGGGAGGCAGCAGUGGGGAAUAUUGCACAAUGGGCGGAAGCCUGAUGCAGCAACGCCGCGUGCGGGAUGACGGCCUUCGGGUUGUAAACCGCUUUCGCCUGUGACGAAGCGUGAGUGACGGUAAUGGGUAAAGAAGCACCGGCUAACUACGUG
rnacentral:rRNA from 1 species